GCUGGGAUAGCUCAGUCGGUAGAGCAUAAGACUCUUAAUCUCAGGUUCAUGAGUUUGAGCCCCAUGUUGGGCG